GACAGAGGUCUCGAGCGUUAGGCGGAAUCACUGGGCUUAAAGCGUGUGUAGGCGGAAUGGUAAGUACCUUGUGAAAUCCCACGGCUCAACCGUGGAACUGCUUGGUAUACUGCUUUUCUUGAGCCAAUUAGGGGCAGCUGGAACUAACGGUGGAGCGGUGAAAUGCGUAGAUAUCGUUAGGAACGCCAAUGGUGAAAACAGGCUGCUGGGAUUGUGCUGACGCUGAGACACGAAAGCCAGGGGAU
rnacentral:rRNA from 1 species